UAGAGUUUGAUCAUGGCUCAGAGCGAACGCUGGCGGCAGGCCUAACACAUGCAAGUCGAGCGCCCAGCAAUGGGAGCGGCAGACGGGUGAGUAACACGUGGGGAUCUACCCAAUGGUACGGAAUAACCCAGGGAAACUUGGAUUAAUACCGUAUGUGCCCUUCGGGGGAAAGAUUUAUCGCCAUUGGAUGAACCCGCGUCGGAUUAGCUAGUUGGUGAGGUAAAGGCUCACCAAGGCGACGAUCCGUAGCUGGUCUGAGAGGAUGAUCAGCCACACUGGGACUGAGACACGGCCCAGACUCCUACGGGAGGCAGCAGUGGGGAAUAUUGGACAAUGGGCGCAAGCCUGAUCCAGCCAUGCCGCGUGAGUGAUGAAGGCCUUA
rnacentral:rRNA from 1 species